rnacentral:rRNA from 1 species
CACGGAGUUAGCCAGUGCUUCUUCUGCGGGUAACGUCAAUUGCUGUGGUUAUUAACCACAACACCUUCCUCCCCGCUGAAAGUACUUUACAACCCGAAGGCCUUCUUCAUACACGCGGCAUGGCUGCAUCAGGCUUGCGCCCAUUGUGCAAUAUUCCCCA